rnacentral:rRNA from 1 species
UACGUAGGGUGCGAGCGUUAAUCGGAAUUACUGGGCGUAAAGCGUGCGCAGGCGGUUUUGUAAGUCUGUCGUGAAAUCCCCGGGCUUAACCUGGGAAUGGCGAUGGAGACUGCAAGGCUAGAGUUUGGCAGAGGGGGGUAGAAUUCCACGUGUAGCAGUGAAAUGCGUAGAGAUGUGGAGGAACACCGAUGGCGAAGGCAGCCCCCUGGGUCAAGACUGACGCUCAUGCACGAAAGCGUGGGGAGCAAACAGG